UGUGUUCCAGAUGUUGCUAUUAGGGAGACAUCUGUAAAACGUGUUCGUCUUUUUCAGACGUAGCGUUCAACUUAGCUCGUUUCCAUGGCAACGCCAGCCGCGCUACUCUCAAACUGACGAUGGUGACGGUGGAUGAGGGCCAAGAAUGACCGGCUAACGACUGGACCACGUGUGUAGGUACUCUCUGCCUUACAGUGUACGUUUGUUCAACCUUUAAUUGUGAUGUAUGGGUCACCUGACAGGAAGGUUUUAGUGUUGUCACUAUUUCAUUAUGAUACAAAAGUUAUGUGUUUUGUGCAGAGGCUCAAGAGGUGCACACAGUAACACAGUGCUUUAAAUAUGUUAAUCUGGAUGCUAAGCAGAGAUAAAUAAAGGACAUACAACCAUGUUCAAUAACAGUGAUAACUGUACUUUGACAGAGGUUAACACUCACAUCUAAGGCUCCAACAACAAAGGGUUGUCUUUGCUGACUGCAUUAGCUGCAGAGAAAUAUUUUUAUGCUUUCACUUUACUAGAGAUGCUGAACCAGAACAAGAUGCUUCAGUCCGAGUAACCCAGACCCAAGCAAAAGGUGAAAUCCACCAGACGACCCAACUGCAGGAACCACCGCUGAACCAUCACUUGUAGUAAGAAUGAAAUUAUCUUCAAAUUAGCUUCUUCAUAUUCUGCUCUUUACUCCAUGUUCUACUGAAGCAAAAUUUUUCAUUUUGGUUUAGGUACAGCUGUGGAGACUGGAAAGCUUUAUUAUCCAGGGUUUCCUUGACAACAGAGACCAGAUAAUGACCAUAGGACCUGGAAAGACCUGUGUUGCAGGAGGCUCGGUGCACCUCCAGUCAAGAUGAAGAGGAGCCUCAGGAUCCCAAACACAUAGAGGAAGUGACUGAAUCUUCCUCUGUGCUGCUGGGUUUGGAAACUCUUCAACUCACUGUGGCCAAGUUGCUCUGAGCAGAAGCCAGUCAAGAUGAGACUUCUCCAAUGUAGAAACAUCGAGCACAUGCUUCAAUAAAUCAAUUUUAUGUUA